UUUUCUUUUUAAGUCAAGUUGCUACUUUAUAAAUACAAUAAGUAUGAAUGCAAAACUCGUGUCAAAGCUCAUUUUGUUGGCUAUAAUUCUUGCCUAUUUUGCUUUGAUUGUGGAGGGCUACCCUGUUGAAGGCGAAGAAGAUAAUGGAGAUCAAGGCAAAGCAAAACCAAGAAAGCAAUUGCUACUCCAAAACGAAGAAAGCCAGUUUUUGCAGUAGUCGCUGCUCUUCACAAACUUUUUGCCGGUUCAUAUACUGGUGUCAAAUGAUUGUUUUUGUGGUUAAUAAUUAAUAAAGAAAUGAAACAGCA